rnacentral:lncRNA from 1 species
AUGGCGACCGAUGCGUCCCGCGCUCUAGGCGAAGACCGCGGCCCGGUCCCCGCGCCUCCACCGCCUUCUUCCAGGAGGAGGGGCCGUGCGGCGCCUGCCCGGGGGCCCUCAGGCCGCAGGCGGGCGCGAGCUUCAGGGAACUUAGGGGGCUCCCGCCUCCCCGGCCAUGCGAGCGGGAACAGUCUCCUCCACUCGGAGCGCCACUCAUCAUGCCUUACCUGGAUGAUGCAGAAGUCCCUGGAAACAGAAGGUCUCACCCUUCUUUAUCUUUCUCAUGGCUUUCCAAGGCUCUUUAUCAUGUUACUUUCCUGCUCAGAAUUCUUUAAUGACUUGCCUCAAUGACCAGAUAUAUGUGAUCUACAGUCAGCCUUCCAGCCUCAUCAUUCCUCUUCCAUUU